rnacentral:lncRNA from 1 species
CGCACUGCUUAUUUCUUUGAAAAUGGGACACAAAAGCCAAAGGAACCUAGCACCAAUAUUGGCUAUGUUCAAUUUUGAAUGUUAUGCUACGAAAUAAAAGAGACGACUUAAUGUUUAAAAUUUCUCUCAAAUAAUACUAAAUUGCACUUUGAGUUCGUCGUAGCUUUUACGAAACUAGUUGGGGCAAGCGAGUUGCUCUAAAAAGAUACAUUUAACAGUAUAGAUAUAAUUAAUUUGGUUA